AGAGUUUGAUCAUGGCUCAGGAUGAACGCUAGCGGCAGGCUUAACACAUGCAAGUCGAGGGGCAGCAUACCCAGCAAUGGGUGAUGGCGACCGGCGGAAGGGUGCGUAACGUGUGAGCAACAUACCCUAUACAGGGGGAUAAGCCAGGGAAACUUGGUCUAAUAUCCCAUAGGAAAUAGAUAAGGCAUCUUGUUUAUUUUAAAGCUUCGGUGGUAUAGGAUUGGCUCGCGUGACAUUAGCUAGAUGGAGUGGUAACGGCCCACCAUGGCAAUGAUGUCUAGGGGUUCUGAGAGGAAGAUCCCCCACACUGGGACUGAGACACGGCCCAGACUCCUACGGGAGGCAGCAGUGAGGAAUAUUGGACAAUGGAUGGAAAUCUGAUCCAGCCAUGCCGCGUGCAGGAAGACGGCCCUAUGGGUUGUAAACUGCUUUUAUACGGGAGCAAUAAGGUCUAUGCAUAGAUUGAUGAGAGUACCGUAUGAAUAAGCAUCGGCUAACUCCGUGCCAGCAGCCGCGGUAAUACGGAGGAUGCGAGCGUUAUCCGGAUUUAUUGGGUUUAAAGGGUGCGUAGGCGGCUUUGUAAGUCAGCGGUGAAAUUUUGCAGCUUAACUGUAAAAGCGCCGUUGAUACUGUGAAGCUAGGAUUUGGUUGCUGUGGGCGGAAUGUGUGGUGUAGCGGUGAAAUGCAUAGAGAUCACACAGAAUAUCGAUUGCGAAGGCAGCUCACAAAGCCAAUAUUGACGCUGAGGCACGAAAGUGUGGGGAUCAAACAGGAUUAGAUACCCUGGUAGUCCACACUGUAAACGAUGAUAACUCGCUGUCGGCGAUAGACCGUCGGUGGCCAAGCGAAAGCGAUAAGUUAUCCACCUGGGGAGUACGACCGCAAGGUUGAAACUCAAAGGAAUUGACGGGGGCCCGCACAAGCGGAGGAACAUGUGGUUUAAUUCGAU
rnacentral:rRNA from 1 species